GCAGCGUGGGUGUUUGCUUUGCCCUAGCAAAGGGAUUCCUGCCUGUGUCCUGCUGUGGAUCUGAUCCUCUGCAGGAACCCUGCAGGGCUGAUACCCAAACCACCUCCCUGCUCUGUGACUCAGCUCCCCACCGAUUUUACCGCUCUGAAGGUUAAAAAGAGGGAAGCAGCUGUUCCCACGCCUCAGCAGCACAAACACCUCGAGCCUUCAAACGCUCCUGAGAGGAAUCAGUGGGACAGCAGCGAGCGAGGGAGCGCUUGGGCCGCUGCCAAAAGCAGCGAGCCUCGAACGGAGCCGCCUCUUAUCUGGGCAAUCUCGGAGCGCUGCAGCCGUUUCGCAAGGAAAUAAAGAGGAAGGUUAUUCAAAAGUGUACUGAUGACAAAUUAUUUGGAUAAGUGACGCUCCAGCACGGAGCUCAGCUCUCCCUCGAUGUGAAAAGCACCCAUUGGAGCUGAAGAAGAGAAUAAUCCCAGAGCUGCUGGAGCUGGAUUUGCUGUUCAUUCACUCAUUCAUUCAUGCUCUGCUGGCCCCGUGGUGGCAGCUGCCACCCCACACUCUGAGUGCGUCUCACACUUUCCCCGCAGCCUUCUCGGGUGCUGGGGUGUAACACUUGGAGCCUUGGACAACAGCAAAACCAGUCAAUUAUGUUUGCACCCUGCCUGCCUUGAAAGCCCUGGAGUGUGUCUGGUGUGAGCACAGCCAGGGGAAUGCAGGAGCUCAUGAUAAAUUCCAAACAAAAGCACCAUUAUCCAUAUGGGACCUCGUGAGUGCUUCACGUACUCCAGCAAUUCCAAGCACUCCGUGUAUGGUUCUUACUCGGUUUUAACUCCAUUUCUUUGAGAUGCAAAUCAGAGGGAUUAUAUUCAGAAGCUGCAUCAGAAAGUCUUUAAUCCAAAUGGGCUAUAAGAUUUAUUUAGAAGAGCCAAAUGUCUUGUCUGGGACAGAAGCAACUGAGCUGAACUGAAACAGAUGGACAUAAAGGAAAUUAAGCAACUCUAAUGGUCUUAUCCAGAGUUUGAAAGUAUUUGGUUUUCCUAAAGCUCAAGCUCCUGGAAGCACGUGAUGAGACGGGAAGCUCAGGUUUCACUUCAAAACAGGCUUUGCAGUUCACUGAGAAAAACAAUAACCAUGUUUUUAUUCCUCCUGUGGACAGAACAAGGGCUGCCUUCCAAAUCCUGACUCCUUGGGCUUAUGUCAUCAGAGGAAAAGAUAUUGAAUGGGAGUUUUGGAGUCCUCAUUUUUACAGCAAUGUCAUCAUUUCAGCAGCCUGGAUUUGAGAUUUUGGGAAAUCUGAUGCUGGCAAUAGAGAUCCCAGGUCUCACCUAAGGCUGGGGUUUAACUGGGACACCAGCACUGCCAAGGUCACCUCCAGCAGUGCUGGAUGCAGCAAACCCAGCGUGCACAUCUUGGAUGCUGAUAAACCACUGGGCUGGAAACCUGGAGAGCUCAGGCUGUCCCCCAGGAUCAGGCGUGUCUCCACCUCUGCUGAGGUCAGGAGAUUCUCAGCUGGCAGAAAAAGCCUUCCCUGGAAUGUUUGGCUGUGUUUGGCCCUGGACAGUCUGCACAGACAGCAGGACAGAUAUGAGGACACGCUCCCUGCCAUCCCACCAGGGCAUUUCUGGGGGUAAAGAUGGUUUCUCUUGGGGAGGAAAGUUGAGGUUUGAGUUGCUUCUACCACCUGCAGCUUUCAGGUGCUAAAUAGUGACAAGGCUGAAUUCUUUGGGCUUCCUGAGGCUCUUGACCACUACUGAGUGGUCAAGGAGAUCCCAGACACAGUCUCAACCAAAGAAAUGCUUUUGCAGCUGAAACUCCUGAUAAAAACUGGGAGAAGUCUUUCUGCUUUCAAUGCAAAGCCAUCCCCUGCUUGGCUCUCCCAGGGAAGCAUCCAAUGCAGGGACAUUUCAAGUGUUUGUGCAUUUGCAAGUGGAUUAAAUAAAAGGUGAGAGAAUUGGGGACAAGCGGAGGGAGGGAGUGUGAGAAGGAGCUCAUCCAUUACCAUGCCGUGCACAAUGCAGGAGGUCUUGGCCUCCUGGUUUGAGUGCUUAUUCCCCAUAAAAUACAUCUGAGAGAAAUCAAUACAAGAGGCAUGCCAGAACUUAAAUCAAAGCACAAGGAAGCAGCGCUUGGUGGAUGGAAUGACCUUGCAGGGAGCUGUCAAAACUGAAGCCCCAGCCCUGUUGAGCACAGAACCUGCCAGGAAAAAACGCUGGAGUGAGGACUUGAGGCUGGCAUGUGCUGCCUUGGCAUGGCUUUCACUGUGAUCUCUGCAGUGGAAAGCACAUGGGUGAGAGAGGCUGGAUCAGUGGCAGGAGGGCAGAGUGCCAGGAGGCUCCUGGGGCAGCUGGGAGAGCUGAGGUGCUCUGUGCUGCCCCUUUGGGCUCCUCAAGUACCUCAGAGAUAAUAAGGCAGGGGUGGGAGCCAGCUUGGAGAUACAGAAAAUGCUCCUCACACCCCUGGCCGUGUGUGCCCUCAGUCCCUGUUGUCCCAGAGCAGGUGUCCAGCCCCACCAGCUCUGUGUCCUGCCCAGCUCAGCAGAGGAUGGAGAGCUGUGUGCAGCAUCCAGGACCCCUCCUGCCCUGUGGUUUCCUCCUGUUGGGCUCAGCCACCUCCCCAGGCAGGUGCCUGACCUUGGUGGCAGGUCACAGCGCCGUGCCACAGACAUCAUAAAUCUGCAGAGCUUUGCUGCAGCCAGGCUCCACCUCUGCAGACUGCAGGGCACAUGUUCCCAUGCUGGGAAAUCUGACCCCUCGGUAGCCUGAGAGACAGGAGAAGCCUGGCUUUGGUGUUUUGAAUAAGUGGCUUUUUAUCUGAAAUCCCUUUGGGAGCAUGAGCUCAGUAACCAAUGAAAUUAUAUCUGUUGUUUCAAGCAGUGAAGAAAACUUGGCUUGAUGUUUAUUGAGAUUUAUGGCUUCCCUUGAGCUUAAUUGUCUUUGGGAGCCCUGGAUCUUUUUAACGGUUCAGCUAAGUGGUACUAAGAAGGAUGGUAAUGGUUUGAGCAGUCUGCCCCCUUAGCAUAUCUCUUUCUCUCACACAAUUUGCUGAUAUUUGGGAAAUAGAGCUGAUACCCUCCCCUCCUGAGGUCACAGCUCUUCACUGGUGUGAAACUCCAAGAGGCUGAGCCAGGUGUGAAAAGCUCCCAGUGAGUGUUUGAAUGCUGAGGUGCUGACUUCCAUCAGCAGGGCUGUGCUGCAGGGAACAGGGGAGGAGAGCAGGUCUGUGCCCCCACUGGGGAGGGUCACCUUGUCCCCCUGCUUUGUCACCCCCUCCUGGAUGCUGGGAUUGGUCUUUCUUGAUCUUCCUGUUCUCCAUCAGCUGGGUGGUUUGGUGUAGGUGCUUCUCUGGUGCUCAGCCAUGCUGGCUUUUCCAUUCCCUCUGCUGGGGGCUCUGGACUGACUGCAGUUUGAGCUGCUCCUACCUAAGCCCAGCCCAGCAUCAUUUCCUGAGCAUCCAAGAGCUCAUCCACAGGUGGGGCUGGGUGUUGGGAUCAACCUGUGGAAUUGCCAUAAGGAGAACGCCUUCUGUUCUGCUCCUUGCACUGGUUUGAACUGGGAAGGGACCAUCUGGGCUGCAGGGAAGGAUUCUCCAGCCCAGUGCUCACCCUACAGGGACACAUCUCAGUGAUUUGUCCUUCAGGGGAGCUCCCUCAGCUCCGGAGGGCUCAACUGAGGAGCUUGUCAUUUGGAGGGGAACAUCACCCAUCACAUAUAAUCAUUCCUCACCUCUGGAUUUUCCCAUCCCUUAUGGGGUGACCCUGAUGGUUUGUUAUCUCUCCCCAGCCAUCCACCAGAGCCUGGCAGUGUGGGCAAUGACCUUCACCUAUUUCCUCACCUCCCUGAGAUGCUGUGGUCACUCAUGGCAGUGUGGGCAAUGACCUUCACAUAUUUCCUCACCUCCCUGAGAUGCUGUGGUCAUUCGUGGCACUGCUGUCCAGCCGAGGUAAUUACAGCAGCUCGUUAUGGUUCAGCAGGCACCUUCAUUAAUGAACCUCAGGUUUCAGAGGUGCCUAACUCUGAGCCAUUGGAAACCACAUCUGGCUGGAGCUCUGCAGCGUGUCUAAGCUUUCAGCUCAUCUCCCCCUGCCUAAGCGGUUUAGGAGGGGCAGUAAACAAAGUCUGUUUGGUUGGGGUUUGCGUGCUUUAAGGCAAAGAAAGCAAACACAGCCUGGCUGGGCUAAUCUCCUCUGCACAGAGCUGGGGCUGACAGCUCCUUCCUGGCUCAUGCCAGUGGGAUUUUUAUCUCUGCUGUGGCUCACACAAGGAGUGUGGGGAUGUUCUCCCUCCCCUGUGUGUGGUGCUGGCUCGUGGCACUCGUCAGGGUGUUGUUACUCUCCUGUGGCACCUCGAAAUUAAAUGAAAUUUAGAUGAUCAUGCUGGAUGUGGGGAUAUCUUAGACUGUGUUCUCUCUCCUAAUAACUUUUAGAGCCAUGAACUUCCUACUUUUUUAGGACAAAGCCCCUAAAGAAUUUGCACUCUGAGGGAGCAGAAGAGCCACGAACGACAUUAACCAUGUGGCCCUUGCAGAGAUUAAGGAUUUAGGCCGUGUAUUGCUCUGCCCACACAUCUUUAAAGCUUGGCUCAGCACUUGGGAUGGGCUCUCCAGGCUUUGGCUGUGGGGUUUGGAGCUCCUUCUGUGCACCUGGGUGACCAAACCACCUCCAGCCCGUGACACCUCUGAGGGCUGGAUCAUUUUCCAUAGGCCAGGCCUGGUGUGUGGGAGGAUGAAGUGCCACAGAGGAAGAGAAAGAUGGGGCUGAGCUCCACGGGGGUGUAAGGAGAUGAGUGGGGGGAUCAAAGGGAGUGGGGAGACAAAUCCCCAACCAGGCACACCCAUCAAUAAAACAUCCCCUCAAACAACCACGUCCUGCCAGAGCUGGAGACGAGUGAGCAGGGCAUGGAGUGAGCAGGGCCCACCUGUGCAUUUCCCAGGUGCUGAGGGUGCUUUCCCACCCUGAGGACUUGAGGAGGAGCUGGCAGCUCAGGCUGGGGGUUGCUGGUGGAUUGCCCACGGGGUUUGUGAGAGCCCUGAACAAAGACCACACACGGGAGGCUCAGGAGAGCGAUGUGUCUCAGACCUUGAGGGUACGAGGCAAGAAUGCCUCUGUGCCUGACUCACCCGCUGUGUGCUAACACUGACUCAUAAUUACUGAUCUCGAUUCAGACAAAAGAUUUAUCUGCACUGGAACAUAUGGAAAAUGCUAAUGGAACCUCGUAGUGGAAAGAGGAGGCUGGGCUGCUGCCUGGCCCUGUGUAAGGCUUGGCCAGUGCCUGAUGGACUGGGACCAGCUUCCCCACCCCAGUUUAUGUGUGGCUGGGAUGAGUCCCCAAAGCUGGAAGAGAGUCUGAUCACCCUCAUCCCUGCCCACUCUGCAGGGAAUUGUGCUUGCAAAAGGUGAAUUUUGCAGCAAGGACCAUUUUUCUGUGUCCCAGCUCAGUUUCCCUCAGCUCUGGGGAUACCCUGCUGUCCCAGGAGGUGAGUCUGGCCCUUUUUCCUUUUUCCAGCUGUGGGGAUGAAGAUGUCUGGCAGGCAGCAGCCCAUUGGCAGUGUGUUUGCACGGUGCCUGCACCCCAGCACAAUGCAGGCAGCACAGCAGGCCCGUCACGGCCAGCAGGCUCCUAAAGCCUCUCACAGAGAGCCACUCUCGGGUUUUGGUUGAUAAUUGCUGCCCUGAGAUGUGCAGGAUGUCUCUGUUUCGGUGGAGAACAAGUCUAGACUCUUCCCUUUUCGGUCUUGAGGUUGCUUAUUAAUUCUUAUCUAUAAAAUUUUCUUUCUGCCCAGCUGAGAUCUGCUCAGCAGGGCAGCCACAGGCACUCUCUGUGUUGUCCUUUUAUACUACAAACUACAUAUAUCAUAUUUACACUUAAUUCCCAAUACCUAUCACCUAUGUUAGACAGUGCACUUCUACUCUAAACCAAUCCCAAAGUGCCAACAGCACUGCAGAAAAUGGAGAACAAGAAGAAGAAGAAGAACAGAAGGCUGGACAAGCCCAAGUUCCUCCAUCUUGUCCCCAUAACCCCCACACCAAAAAUCCUAAAAUCUACAUUUUCACCCUGUGAUCAUUUUAUUAUUAUACUAUUCAAACUUCUGUGACUAUCAUGUCCUCAUACAAAGCUGGUAACUUGCUCCAAGGGUCAUAAUCAAAUCCCCAGGUGCUCUGGGCUGUGUGCCAGGGUCUCUGAGCCCCCCAAUGGGGUCCUUGGCAACUCUGGGCACCCAGAGGGAUGCACUGAGUUCUGACAAGCCACGAGCAGCCACAACCCCCAGGAGAGGGCUGGAUUAAACCCAGAACAGAGCCAGGGCUUUGUCCCAGGGUUGUGAGCCCCCAGUGAGACGGCAGAGCCCACAAACCCCUCAGCUGCUGCCUGCUGUGGUCCCAGCAGGGCAAGGCUGGCUGCCCAGGGCUGUGCCACCUCCUGCCCUGCCUGUGCCACCUUUCCCUCCCUGCUGCUCGGCGCUGCUGGAUGCUAAGUGGAAAUUUCCCCCUGUGCCAAGUGUUAAAUACUUAUCAAGCUAAUGCAGCGUCUUUGGAGGUGUGUACAAGAGACAACAUGUUACCCUAAUUAACGAGCAGCUGGGCUUGGCACCCGGCUCUGCUGCAGCUGCUCCCGGCGCCUUUCCCAGGCUCUGCCUCCUCCACACCAUGGCAGGGGCACAACCUGCAGCGGGGUCAGCGCCUCACUGGCUCCUCUCUCACUUCAGAGAGCAGGGUUUGGUUCCUAGGCUGAGAUCUGGGGGCUGUUUCUGGGCUGGGUGAGGUGCUCUGGGUCAGUGGGUCUGUUUGUAGCAGCUUAGAUAAGUUUUGGGGUGCGCUGAUUUGGAGAAUUUUAGGGGAAUUGCUGCUGGAGGAAGAUGAACCAUCAGGUUUGAGUGCUGGUUUGUCCCUCCCUGGUGGUGUGGCAGCAGCAGCUCCCUUGGUUGGCUUUGCUGUGGGAAUUGUGCUUGGGCAGGGGUGGCCAAGUGUCACUGGGGUCGGUGUGACAGCUCCAGGGAAUGGGG